UAGCCUAGAAACUUCUGUGGCAUGUUUGGGUCUGAAGGAAGAAGAAAGGGGAACUUGUGAAGAUCUCUGAGUCUAGAAAGCGUAUACUCUUGUCUUUACCUCUUUGUGGCAGUUGCUCGUAAGGGUUACAGCACCGCCAGCUGACUUGGGACUGCGUCCUCAUGCUUGCAGUCACCAGCACACCCAUUAACCAAGACAGAGCAGAGUCACUCUCCAGUGCAGAUCACUGCAUACAGACAAGGCUGGUGCAGUGCAUAUUUAAAAUGAAGAAACCAAGGGAACCCAGACUGCCAUACUCUAUCACUCUCUUUUUUGCCAGUGUACAAAAUUCCUUCCCAUUAAAAG